GACCACCGCGGCCAGUCGCUUCAGCGGGCAAGCAGAGCUAAACCCAAAUGGCGUUGAGCUCGAGCGGGGCCUGAGCUUGCCCAAAUCUAGCCUAAGUAACAGCAUCGGCAACGCCAAUUCAUUAUCUGCUUGAGCAAUGAUCCAAGCUUGGUUUGAGCUCAAAGAUUUGUCUUCGAAACCCAUAUUUUCAGCCCAGCGACCUCGAGUCGCCCAAGACUCAAUUCUCAAGUCUCCCUCCAGGUUACAGGCUCUUAGGUCAAGCUUCAAGCUCAAGCGACCACAAUGGCCAGAUCUGGCUUCGAAGCUCACCGCGACUAAAUCGUCGUCAAGGGACUCACCCCUCCUAAAACACUUGCCUAGAUAUGAAAUUUCAGAUCUGCGAGCAACCGGCGAUCACCGGUGAUUAAGCAAGGGCUCACGAACGUCCUCAGAGGUCUAGGCAACUUUGGGCAUUGAUGGACGAGGGACGCAGGCGUUUUGGCCAGGCAAUCGCGAGCUUGAAGACAAUGAACAGUAACUUUGAAGAUGAUGAACAGUAACUUCCCGAUAAACAGUAAGCUCGAUCUUUUCUUCUUUCUUAAUUUUUUUGUGAUGUCCCAUCAGCGCCACUUGUCUUGAAGAAAAAUUAAUGAUGUCACGUCAGAUUUUUAACAACAAUUUUUAACAUAAUUUUAAUAAAGUAUAAAUAUGUCAGUCAACUAAAAAUUUAUGAUUUUUGAUGACAGAGUUUUUCUUUUGAAUAAAUGGGUCACUCUAGACAUUCCUUACAUAAAUUAAGGUUUCUUGACUUUUAAUCUUUGGAUCAUGGUGAUUAAUUAUGCAUGUUUAUGACGUAUGAGCAACCAUAAUGAAGGUAAAUUGGAAACAAGGCCAAAGCAAACACGUACUUCAUAUAUGAUCAUUGAGUGAACGGACUGCAGAGACCAUCUUUUUGAGGCCCAGAUUAGAAGAGGGCAAACGGAAAAAAAAGAAGAAGUGUUGAAAUCUAAUAUUUUAGAAAAUAAUAAAUAAAAUAAAAAUUAGGUUUUGGAAAUUUUUUGUUGAAAAUAUAUUUUCAUUUCAAAAUUAAGUUUUUAACUUUUUAUUUGAUUUUGGAGCCUUUUUAUUGUAGGAGUCGUGGAGUGAAUAUCUCGUUUGCAAAAAUAACUCUCGAGUGCUUUCACUAUAAAAUGCGAGGCUUCAAAACCAUGUCGAGGGGGCGACUUCUCUUCGUCGAGGGAAAAAGAAAAUAAAAAAGGAAAAGUCAAGAGAAGCUUUAGCUUCUGAAGGGAAGAGAGCUUCGGUUUGUGGGAGAGGAAAAGAGGAAAAAGUAAAAAGAAGGUAGAGAGAGAGUGUGUACGAAGAGAUGGGUAGGAGGAGAGAGAGUAAAAAUUAAAAAAGGAAAAAGCAGAAGCAAAAGUUUUGGCAGGGGGAUUGGACGUUUACUGUUCAUCCUCUUCCCCCUGCACUCGCCGGAAUUUGCUGCCCACAGACCGACGGCUCCUCCUCACCGGUGCACCACCGUGCCCGCACCUGCGCCAUCGCUUUCACUCGUCCGCCACCACACCACCAUCGUGCGAACACCGCCGUAGCAGCAAGCCUGAGCCGAUCGCCGCCAGUAGCUGCCACGUCCCCUGCUCGACUCCUCCACGCUCGCGACCACCGCGCGCCCCCUACCCGAAGUGGCGCCACUCCACAUCGCCGCUGGACAGAGAUCUUCUAUUCCGCGGCGCUCGCACCAGCCCUCCUCGCCGAUCAAGCCACCGUACGCCCGAGCGACGUCAGGGCUGGUCGCUGAACUCCCCUCCGACGAAGUCACUGCCUUGCUGCACCGCGACACCAUUGCUCCGCGCCUCUGUUCUUGCCCGAGUCACUGAUCAUCAUCGUCACUCGCCCACCGUUCCAGAUUCCGCCGCCGACGCCUGUGACUCGCCCGCCGUUGGAGUCCUCCGCCUGCAACGCCCUGUCCACGAAGCCACCGCCGAUUCAGCUCCGACCGCGACACCCCUGUUUCGCCGGUUGUCCCUGCUGCCCGGGUGCCGCCCCGUUCCUGCCGAUCCGCCUUCGCCGGAGUUCCCUUUGCCAGACCAACGAUCAGUCCCCUCGGUGACCAGCCGCACGAGCUGCCGAGCUUUUCUUUUGGAAGCAAAGGAUAAAGAAAAAGAAAAACAAAACAAAAGAGAAAAGCAAAUUAGGUAGUUUGUUUUUCUUUAUUUUAUUAUUUAUUCAUUUUAAAUUUUGUUAUUAUUGUUUAAGUUAGAAUAUGGUUUGUCAAUGUUAAUAUUG
rnacentral:lncRNA from 1 species